CCAGCACGUAAUGGUGGGCACUCUAAGGAGACUGCCGGUGACAAACCGGAGGAAGGUGGGGAUGACGUCAAGUCAUCAUGGCCCUUACGGCCUGGGCUACACACGUGCUACAAUGGUCGGUACAGAGGGUUGCCAAGCCGCGAGGUGGAGCUAAUCCCAGAAAACCGAUCGUAGUCCGGAUCGCAGUCUGCAACUCGACUGCGUGAAGUCGGAAUCGCUAGUAAUCGCGAAUCAGAAUGUCGCGGUGAAUACGUUCCCGGGCCUUGUACACACCGCCCGUCACACCAUGGGAGUGGGUUGCACCAGAAGUAGCUAGUCUAACCCUCGGGAGG
rnacentral:rRNA from 1 species